rnacentral:rRNA from 1 species
AUUGAACGCCGGCGGCAUGCCUUACACAUGCAAGUCGAACGGCAGCACGGGUGCUUGCACCUGGUGGCGAGUGGCGAACGGGUGAGUAAUACAUCGGAACGUACCUUAUCGUGGGGGAUAACGCAGCGAAAGCUGUGCUAAUACCGCAUACGCCCUGAGGGGGAAAGCGGGGGAUCGAAAGACCUCGCGCGAUUAGAGCGGCCGAUGCCUGAUUAGCUUGUUGGUGGGGUAAAAGCCCACCAAGGCGACGAGCAGUAGCUGGUCUGAGAGGACGAUCAGCCACACUGGGACUGAGACACGGCCCAGACUCCUACGGGAGGCAGCAGUGGGGAAUUUUGGACAAUGGGGGCAACCCUGAUCCAGCAAUGCCGCGUGAGUGAAGAAGGCCUUCGGGUUGUAAAGCUCUUUUGUCAGGGAAGAAACACCGGCUCUAACACAGUCCGGGAAUGACGGUACCCGAAGAAUAAGCACCGGCUAACUACGUGCCAGCAGCCGCCGUAA